GACGAACCGAGCGAACGUUGUUCGGAAUCACUGGGCUUAAAAGGCGCGUAGGCGGGUGCUCAAGUCUGUGGUGAAAUCCUCCGGCUCAACCGGAGAACUGCCAUGGAUACUGGGCGUCUCGAGUGUGGUAGGGGUAUGCGGAACUAUCGGUGGAGCGGUGAAAUGCGUUGAUAUCGAUAGGAACUCCGGUGGCGAAGGCGGCAUACUGGACCACCACUGACGCUGAUGCGCGAAAGCCAGGGGAGCAAACGGG
rnacentral:rRNA from 1 species